GUGCUUGCUUUGGCAGCACAUAUACUAAAAUUGGAACGAUACAGAGAAGAUUAGCAUGGCCCCUGCACAAGGAUGAUAUGCAAAUUCAUAAAACGUUCCAUAUUUUU